rnacentral:rRNA from 1 species
GACGAACGCUGGCGGCGUGCUUAACACAUGCAAGUCGAACGGAAAGGCCCCUUUGGGGGUACUCGAGUGGCGAACGGGUGAGUAACACGUGAGUAACCUGCCCUUGACUUCGGGAUAACUUCAGGAAACUGGGGCUAAUACCGGAUAGGAAUCCUUGCUGCAUGGUGGGGGUUGGAAAGCGUCGGGGGUUUUGGUUGGAUUCGCGGCUUAUCAGCUUGUUGGUGGGGUAGUGGCUUACCAAGGCUUUGACGGGUAGCCGGCCUGAGAGGGUGACAGGCCACAUUGGGACCGAGAUGAGGCCCAGACGCCUACGGGAGGCAGCAGGGGGGAAUAUUGCACAAGGGGCGGAGGCCGGAUGCAGAAACGCCGCGUGCGGGAUGACGGCCUUAGGGUUGUAAACCGCUUUCAGCAGGGGCGAAGCUUGUGGUGACGGUACCUGCAGAAGAAGCACCGGCUAACUACGUG